GACGAACGCUGGCGGCGUGCUUAACACAUGCAAGUUGAACGGAAAGGCCCUGCUUUUGUGUGGUGCUCGAGUGGCGAACGGGUGAGUAACACGUGAGUAACCUGCCCUUGACUUUGUGAUAACUUCAGGAAACUGGGGCUAAUACCGGAUAGGAGCUCCUGCUGCAUGGUGGGGGUUGGAAAGUUUCGGCGGUUGGGGAUGGACUCGCGGCUUAUCAGCUUGUUGGUGGGGUAGUGGCUUACCAAGGCUUUGACGGGUAGCCGGCCUGAGAGGGUGACCGGCCACAUUGGGACUGAGAUACGGCCCAGACUCCUACGGGAGGCAGCAGUGGGGAAUAUUGCACGAUGGGCGGAAGCCUGAUGAAGCAACGCCGCGUGCGGGAUGACGGCCUUCGGGUUGUAAACCGCUUUCGCCUGUGACGAAGCGUGAGUGACGGUAAUGGGUAAAGAAGCACCGGCUAACUACGUG
rnacentral:rRNA from 1 species